rnacentral:rRNA from 1 species
AGCGAACGCUGGCGGCAGGCCUAACACAUGCAAGUCGAACGAACCUUUCGGGGUUAGUGGCGGACGGGUGAGUAACACGUGGGAACGUGCCUUUAGGUUCGGAAUAACUCAGGGAAACUUGUGCUAAUACCGAAUGUGCCCUUCGGGGGAAAGAUUAAUCGCCUUUAGAGGGGCCCGCGUCUGAUUAGCUAGGUGGUUGAGGUAAUGGCGCACCAAGGCGACGAUCAGUAGCUGGUCUGGGAGGAUGAUCAGACACAUUGGUACUGAGACACGGCCCAAAAUCCUACGGGAGGGAGGAGUGGGGAAUCUUGCGAAAUGGGCGAAAGCAUGACGCAGCCAUGCCGCGUGAGUGCUGAAGGUCUUAGGAUUGUAAAAUUCUUUCACCGGGGACGAUACUGACGGUACCCGGAGAAGAAGCCCCGGCUAACUUCGUG